UGCUACUUUGCUGACGAGCGGCGGACGGGUGAGUAAUGCUUGGGAACAUGCCUUGAGGUGGGGGACAACAGUUGGAAACGACUGCUAAUACCGCAUAAUGUCUACGGACCAAAGGGGGCUUCGGCUCUCGCCUUUAGAUUGGCCCAAGUGGGAUUAGCUAGUUGGUGAGGUAAUGGCUCACCAAGGCGACGAUCCCUAGCUGGUUUGAGAGGAUGAUCAGCCACACUGGGACUGAGACACGGCCCAGACUCCUACGGGAGGCAGCAGUGGGGAAUAUUGCACAAUGGGCGCAAGCCUGAUGCAGCCAUGCCGCGUGUGUGAAGAAGGCCUUCGGGUUGUAAAGCACUUUCAGUCAGGAGGAAAGGUUAACGGUUAAUACCCGUUAGCUGUGACGUUACUGACAGAAGAAGCACCGGCUAACUCCGUGCCAGCAGCCGCGGUAAUACGGAGGGUGCGAGCGUUAAUCGGAAUUACUGGGCGUAAAGCGUACGCAGGCGGUUUGUUAAGCGAGAUGUGAAAGCCCCGGGCU
rnacentral:rRNA from 1 species